GGCUGUGCACCUCUGUGGCCUUAAAGCAUGGACAAAGGUCAUAAAUCUGAUCUUUACCAUGAAUGACAGCAUGACCAGGAAAAACUGUAGCCCUGAAACUGACCUUCAAGCAAUCUUGGGAGCUGUGGUCCUUCUGCAGCCAGCUGACUGUGCUAUACCUUCAAGCCAUUCUUACCAUUCAGCCUCUGGAAUCUGGAGAUCACCAGAGGGACUGAGGAGUGUCACUGAGCUGUAAAAGCUAAGCAAGAAAACUGAAAAUAUACUGCUCCUGUUCUGUUUUGCCAUAAGACUGCUAGCUACUGGAUGACACAGAAACAGCUGCUAAAUGGAACGCCUUGCAAGGCUGACCCUUCUCAGUUAUCUUGCAGGCUUGAGAUAUGAAAGUGACCACAUGUUGCAAUUUCAGACUGGAUUGGAUCCAGUGGGAAAAUGUUUAGACAGAAUACUGCACCAAACAACACUCCUGAGAGCUGUGCCCGUGGUGAGCCUGUAACAGAA